UGGGGGAUAUUGCACAAUGGGCGAAAGCCUGAUGCAGCGACGCCGCGUGGGGGAUGAAGGCCUUCGGGUUGUAAACUUCUUUUGCUCUGAACAAGGCGCACCAUGGGGUGUGUUGAGUGUAGGGGUUGAUUAGCGCCGGCUAACUACGUGCCAGCAGCCGCGGUAAUACGUAGGGCGCGAGCGUUGUCCGGAAUUAUUGGGCGUAAAGGGCUUGUAGGUGGCUGGUUGCGUCUGUCGUGAAAGCUCAUGGCUUAACUGUGGGUUUGCGGUGGGUACGGGCUGGCUUGAGUGCAGUAGGGGAGGCUGGAAUUCCUGGUGUAGCGGUGGAAUGCGCAGAUAUCAGGAGGAAUACCGGUGGCGAAGGCGGGUCUCCGGGCUGUUACUGACACUGAGGAGCGAAAGCAUGGGGAGCGAACAGG
rnacentral:rRNA from 1 species